rnacentral:rRNA from 1 species
CGCAAGCCUGAUGGAGCAACACCGCGUGAGUGAAGAAGGGUUUCGGCUCGUAAAGCUCUGUUGUUUAAAGAAGAACACGUAUGAGAGUAACUGUUCAUACGUUGACGGUAUUUAACCAGAAAGUCACGGCUAACUACGUGCCAGCAGCCGCGGUAAUACGUAGGUGGCAAGCGUUAUCCGGAUUUAUUGGGCGUAAAGAGAGUGCAGGCGGUUUUCUAAGUCUGAUGUGAAAGCCUUCGGCUUAACCGGAGAAGUGCAUCGGAAACUGGAUAACUUGAGUGCAGAAGAGGGUAGUGGAACUCCAUGUGUAGCGGUGGAAUGCGUAGAUAUAUGGAAGAACACCAGUGGCGAAGGCGGCUACCUGGUCUGCAACUGACGCUGAGACUCGAAAGCAUGGGUAGCGAACAGGAUUAGAUACCCUGGUAG